CCUUGCAGGACAUGUCGACAGAAAGACAAUGAGGCGUGUUGUCUGAGGUGGGAAAAGAGAAUUGCGGCAAGCGCGUCCUUGCUCGUGUGUGUCGAAACGGUUUCUAGCAACACCGUCAAAACAGCGAGUCUUCCUCGUGUGUUCAAUCUCUCUGAACGCUCCUAGUGCGACAUUUACAGCAGCGUUGUUUGCUGUGUCUGAAUCCCGAGGGGCCAUUGUGGUUCUGCGAGAUUUUUUGAAUCAAACAAACGCAUGUUCUGUGGAGUAAAGACACGUUUGCUGACUUCGAGCCAGCAGGUCGGCGGUCUGGGUCGUGGCAAGCAGGGACAAAACCUCAAAACCUUACGUUUGCUGCCGAUGCUGUGUUCUAUGUGUUCGUCGCCGUUCGGCAAGAAGCGAUCAGUUUCCCCUGCUGAUAAAAAAGAGAGCAAUGUGCUGGGCCAUGGUGGUCCCUCAGGAGGUAUCCGUUUCUGCAUCUGCAAAGUGUCACACUGAGGAUUACCGGAGUUGGCUCGAAAGCGCGCCGUCAACGGUUUUUCUCGUUUUGCGUUAUCGCUUGUUUGGCGCUCUAUCGGAAUCCCGUUACUGCUCAGUUGUUUUACGUACAUGACGGGGUAAAUGUGUGAACAUUUUGCAACGGAGACGUGAAAAUCUACGCAGUCACUAGCAGGCAUCGAACGAAUUACAGUGUUAGCACCCGCCAGUUCCCCGAUCGACAAUCAUUGUUGGAAUGGGAUCGCUUGCUCCACACAGUUUUUCGAGCCUGUUUGCACUCCCCUCCCGUGUUUCAUUUCAAAGUUCCCGCGCGGUACGGUUACACUAUCGGUUACUCAGAGUGUUUAAGCUUACAAAAAAGGUUCUACAUUCUUCAGUAUACAAGGAUGGUGUAUCUUGCUUAUCUUUAUUUAAAGUAAACUUUUGAGGGCACUGGCCAUCGCUCGUACGAGCGGAAAUUGCUACCGGCGCACAGCAGCCGUGUCAUCCUCCCAGUGUGUCGACUGUUUUUGCAUGAUCUCCUGG
rnacentral:lncRNA from 1 species